AGAUUGAACGCUAGCGGGAUGCUUUACACAUGCAAGUCGAACGGCAGCGCGGACUUCGGUCUGGCGGCGAGUGGCGAACGGGUGAGUAAUAUAUCGGAACGUGCCCAGUAGCGGGGGAUAACUACGCGAAAGCGUGGCUAAUACCGCAUACGCCCUACGGGGGGAAAGGGGGGGAUCGCAAGACCUCUCACUAUUGGAGCGGCCGAUAUCAGAUUAGCUAGUUGGUGAGGUAAAGGCUCACCAAGGCGACGAUCUGUAGCUGGUUUGAGAGGACGACCAGCCACACUGGGACUGAGACACCGGCCCAGACUCCGUACGGGAGGCAGCGAGGUGGGUAAUUUGGAACUAAGUAGGGGGAAACCCUGGACUCCGAGCCAUCCCGCGUGUGCGAUACGGAAGGUCCGUUCGGGUUAGUAACGUCGUACGUUUGGACGUAAGGGAAACGG
rnacentral:rRNA from 1 species